rnacentral:rRNA from 1 species
AUUGAACGCUGGCGGCAUGCCUUACACAUGCAAGUCGAACGGCAGCACGGGAGCAAUCCUGGUGGCGAGUGGCGAACGGGUGAGUAAUAUAUCGGAACGUGCCCAGUAGUGGGGGAUAACUGCUCGAAAGAGCAGCUAAUACCGCAUACGACCUGAGGGUGAAAGGGGGGGAUCGCAAGACCUCUCGCUAUUGGAGCGGCCGAUAUCAGAUUAGCUAGUUGGAGGGGUAAAGGCCUACCAAGGCAACGAUCUGUAGUUGGUCUGAGAGGACGACCAGCCACACUGGGACUGAGACACGGCCCAGACUCCUACGGGAGGCAGCAGUGGGGAAUUUUGGACUAUGGGCGCAAGCCUGAUCCAGCAAUGCCGCGUGCAGGAAGAAGGCCUUCGGGUUGUAAACUGCUUUUGUCGGGGAAGAAAUCCUCUAGGUUAAUACCCUUGGGGGGAUGACGGUACCUGAAGAAUAAGCACCGGCUAACUACGUGCCAGCCGCCGCGGUAACAC